UAUAAAUUUUUUACAAAUUCCUGCAAAUAUAUUACUAUUAAGUCUAUUUUGCCUAUGUCUCAAUUCUUGUCUUUUUGCUAUAAUUAUUUCGUUAAGUUUUUGUCUAUAUUCUUCAUUCUCGUUAUUCAUUGUUUCUUUAAGUAUUGAAUAUAUUUAUAUUCUAUUUUAGAUAUAUUAUCUAUUAAUUGAUCUAAUUUGUCUUUAUCAGUUUUCGUGAUAUUGAGUUU
rnacentral:lncRNA from 1 species